ACAUGCAGUCGAACGAUGAAACCUUUCCUUGUGCCUUAUUGGCAAAGGGGUGAGUAACACUUGGGCAAUCUGCCCUUCCCUCUGGGACGGGCCCUGUAAACGGGGUCUAAUACCGGAUAACACUCUGUCCUGCAUGGGACGGGGUUAAAAGCUCCGGCGGUGAAGGAUGAACCCGCGGCCUAUCAACUUGUUGGUGGGGUAAUGGCCUACCAAGGCGACGACGGGUAGCCGGCCUGAGAGGGCGACCGGCCACACUGGGACUGAUGACGGCCCACACUCCUACGGGAGGCAGCAGUGGGGAAUAUUUUUCAAUGGGCGAAAGCCUGAUGCAUCGACCCCGCGUGAGGGAUGACGGCCUUCGGGUUGUAUACCUCUUUCUUUAGGGAAGAAGCAAAAGUGACGGUACCUGCACAAGAAGCGCCGGCUAACUACGAGCAAUCAGCCGCGGUAAUACAUAUGGCGCAAGCCUUGUCCGGAAUUAUUGGGCGUACAGAGCUCGUAAGCAGUGUGUCAAGUCCGAUGUGAAACCCCGGUGCUUAACC
rnacentral:rRNA from 1 species